UACGGAAGGCAGCAGGGGGGAAUAUUGCACAAUGGGCGAAAGCCUGAUGCAGCUAUGCCGCGUGUAUGAAGAAGGCCUUAGGGUUGUAAAGUACUUUCAUCGGGGAGGAAAAAACAAAACUAAUAAUUUUAUUUCUUGACGUUACCCGAAAAAGAAGCACCGGCUAACUCCGUGCCAGCAGCCGCGGUAAUACGGAGGGUGCUAGCGUUAAUCAGAAUUACUGGGCGUAAAGAGCACGUAGGUGGUUUUUUAAGUCAGAUGUGAAAUCCCUGGGCUUAACCUAGGAACUGCAUUUUGAAACUGAAAUACUAGAGUAUCGUAGAGGGAGGUAGAAUUCUAGGUGUAGCGGUGAAAUGCGUAGAUAUCUGGAGGAAUACCUGUGGCGAAAGCGGCCUCCUAAACGAAUACUGACACUGAGGGUGCGAAAGCGUGGGGAGCAAACAGGGAUUAGAUACC
rnacentral:rRNA from 1 species